rnacentral:rRNA from 1 species
CUUGCUUCUCUUGAGAGCGGCGGACGGGUGAGUAAUGCCUAGGAAUCUGCCUGGUAGUGGGGGAUAACGUUCGGAAACGGACGCUAAUACUGCAUACGUCCUACGGGAGAAAGCAGGGGACCUUCGGGCCUUGCGCUAUCAGAUGAGCCUAGGUCGGAUUAGCUAGUUGGUGGGGUAAUGGCUCAUCAAGGCGACGAUCCGUAACUGGUCUGAGAGGAUGAUCAGUCACACUGGAACUGAGACACGGUCCAGACUCCUACGGGAGGCAGCAGUGGGGAAUAUUGGACAAUGGGCGAAAGCCUGAUCCAGCCAUGCCGCGUGUGUGAAGAAGGUCUUCGGAUUGUAAAGCACUUUAAGUUGGGAGGAAGGGUUGUAGAUUAAUACUCUGCAAUUUUGACGUUACCGACAGAAUAAGCACCGGCUAACUCUGUGCCAGCAGCCGCGGUAAUACAGAGGGUGCAAGCGUUAAUCGGAAUUACUGGGCGUAAAGCGCGCGUAGGUGGUUUGUUAAGUUGGAUGUGAAAUCCCCGGGGCUCAACCUGGGAACUGCAUUCAAAACUGACUGACUAGAGUAUGGUAGAGGGUGGUGGAAUUU